AGCGAACAGAAAAAGGAGCUUGGCUCCUUUUGACGUUAGCGGCGGACGGGUGAGUAACACGUGGGCAACCUACCUUAUAGUUUGGGAUAACUCCGGGAAACCGGGGCUAAUACCGAAUAAUCUAUUUCACUUCAUGGUGAAAUACUGAAAGACGGUCUCGGCUGUCGCUAUAAGAUGGGCCCGCGGCGCAUUAGCUAGUUGGUGAGGUAACGGCUCACCAAGGCGACGAUGCGUAGCCGACCUGAGAGGGUGAUCGGCCACACUGGGACUGAGACACGGCCCAGACUCCUACGGGAGGCAGCAGUAGGGAAUCUUCCACAAUGGGCGAAAGCCUGAUGGAGCAACGCCGCGUGAGUGAAGAAGGUUUUCGGAUCGUAAAACUCUGUUGUAAGGGAAGAACAAGUACAGUAGUAACUGGCUGUACCUUGACGGUACCUUAUUAGAAAGCCACGGCUAACUACGUGCCAGCAGCCGCGGUAAUACGUAGGUGGCAAGCGUUGUCCGGAAUUAUUGGGCGUAAAGCGCGCGCAGGCGGUCCUUUAAGUCUGAUGUGAAAGCCCACGGCUCAACCGCGGAGGGUCAUUGGAAACUGGGGGACUUGACUGCAGAAGAGGAAGGAGGAAUUCCAACUGUUACGGUUCAAUGUUUACAGAUUUGGAAGAACGGCUAU
rnacentral:rRNA from 1 species